AAAAAAUUUACAACUUGCAGAAGGCUCAAAUGAUUGUUAUCAUUUUUAAGCAAUAAAGUAUUUUUAAUUAAGGUAUAUAUUUUUUUUUAGACAU